CCCGCACGUUACCACCAAACGCAUCGCUCCCCUUGCUCGUUCUGGGAGAAUCGCGGGGAAGAAGACGACGAUUUCGAGGGAGGGGGAGGCAGAGGUGUGCUCGCUCGAAGCCUCCAGUCCCCUUUGAUUUCGAUGUCUCUGCGGGCUGCGGCCGGAUCGCGCGUUGUUUCGGUUGAUUAAUCGGCGAUCGGAGCGCGGCGUCGGCGUCCAUGGAGAGCACCGCGGGGGCGAGGAAGAGGCAGCCAGUCGCUUCCGCCUCUGCCUCCGCCACCGCGUACAUCCCCGAGGAGCUCAUCAGGGACAUCCUCGUCCGCCUGCCUUCCAGGUCCGUCCUCCGCUUACGCACCGUCUGCAAGGCCUGGCUCCGCCUCGCCUCCGACCCCGAGUUCGCGCUCGAGCACCACCGCCGCCAGCCGUCCCUGCCCCUCGUCUCCUUCCUCCGCGACGCCGGCAGCAAGGAGGUGGACGCCGUGGACUGCUGCGUCGAGGCGCUCGACCUCCGCGCCGACGACUUCCGGUCCGUCGUCCGGUUCACCGACUCCAACGAGUGGUGCGGCCGGUUCCUCAUUCAUGGCUCCUGCGACGGGCUUCUCCUGCUCAGCUUCGACGACCGCUUGUACGUCUGCAACCCUGCCACGCACCAGUGGACGCGCCUCCCGACGCCCCUCUACUCCUCAUUGUUCGCCGGUUUCUACCGCCACGACCCUACCGGAGAGUACCGGGCCUUGUUCUACCGAGGCAGCUGGCCCGGGACGGACUACUACAUCCUGGUGGCGGACUCCAGGAAGGGGAGGGGAAUUGGUCUGCCAUCAGAGAAAGAUGUGUACAAAUUCAAGGAACAACCCGGCGGGCCGCCGGCCCUUCUCCGUGGGAGCCUCCACUGGCCACCGCAGAAGCAGGACGGCCACCUGAUACUGGUGUUUAACACGGUCACUGAGGUGUUCGGGGUGAUGUUUCCUCCUCCUGUGAUACGGGAGCACAUGUCGUUGCUCGAGAUGGAGAACAAGCUUACCAUGUUGAGCUGCGGUGACGAUGUCACAAUGGUUGAGCUCUGGCUUCUGCAGGAUUACGAGAACAAUAAGUGGGUCUGCAAGCACCAGAUUGAAUUGCCGGCAAUGAAGGUCAGCACCUUUCACUUUGAUGAGCCCUGGCGUGUAUUUUUCAUGUCAGAAGAGGGAGUUGUGCUGGUUACCCCCCAGCAGAAGCUGUUGCAUUAUGACAUGAACGGGGAUCUGUGGGAAAGUUUCCGUUGCGAUGGCCGCCAUCUCAAGAUUACUCUGUAUACCCUCAAGGAAAGCCUGAUUCGGCACAGGUUCUUUGAGAUGCAGGAGAACGCGGAUGAUGGUGAAGAUGAACCGCCACCUUUCUUCUGGGGGCUGUAGACUUGGUGGUAGUGGUGGUUUCUUAUGGUCUAUGGACCUUGGUUGCAGUUGAUCAGCAGUUCAAUGUUUUACAUAUUACGGUCUCGAUUGAUGAAGCAUAAGCUGUUGUGUUGAGAUUUAACUCCACUGAUGUUUGCUCUAUAGUUCUCACCUGCCAUUUUGUGGUGCGUAUAAUUUGAGAAUUGAGACUGAUGCCGUUUACCUGUGUAAUUUGUUGUUAUUUAUUAUUUGUUUGGUAUAUGCUAUGUUAGUUCUGUUCUAUUGAUGCACACAACGAUGUACAAGGCGUAUAAACACCUUAGAUGAAAAACUUGGUGGUAGAGUCUGGAUUGCUGUACGGUGCAGAUUUUGUAGCUUACCGUCAUCAUCCGGCACUUGUUCACUCGGAGUUUGCAGUGAUUACUGUUCCAGAAGGCAAAGAAUUUGACGUUUGUUCUGACCAUCAGCAGCAGGAGAUGUGAGCUGGGCUCCCAGAUUGUUUAGAGCAGCUAAUUGUUCAUGAGAGAAGAACACAAGAUGGAUACCCCAGCAGUGCCGCGAGCGACGACACAAACUGUCCAGAGAAGCCAGUAGGGAAGAACACAUAAGAGCGAGAGAUAGUGUCGUAUUUAACUACUGGGGUGUAAUACUAGGCUUCAGUAUUCUUUCUAGCUUACUUGUAUACAUGCUGAAGUUUUGACUGAAGAACUUAGCGUCUUUGUACAGUCGUGUGAAUUUUCCAUUUUAUUGCAAUCCUGUCCUGUGAUGGUACUCUUUGUCAGUCUCAGUUAGGUUUCUAGAUAUC